UCUUGAGUACAUCGAUGAGACUUGGAAACAAAAUCCAAUAUUGCCUUCUGAUCCUUACAAAAAAGCAUUGGCACGUUUCUGGUCUAAAUUCAUUGACGACAAGUCUUUAAACGCCUUAAAAAAAGUUAUUUACACUAUUGAUGAGAAAGAACGACAGAAAGGUGCUGAAGAAAUAGACGAGGCUCUUCAUCAUCUUGAGAAUGAGCUGAAGGAUAAAUUCUUUGGUGGAGAAGAGAUUGGAAUUGUUGAUAUUACUGCUGUCGUCAUAGCUUACUGGCUUCCUAUUAUACAAGAAGCAUUUGGAGUGAAGUUGUUCACUAGUGACAAAUUUCCCAAGCUUUACAAUUGGAGCCAAGACUUCAACAAUCACCCUAUUGUUAAGGAAUUAUUGCCUCCUAGAGAAACCCUUUUGGCCUUUUACAAAGGUGUUUAUGAAAGUAUUAUUGCUUCAAAAUAG